rnacentral:rRNA from 1 species
CACGUAGGGCGCAAGCGUUGUCCGGAAUUAUUGGGCGUAAAGAGCUCGUAGGUGGUCUGUUGCGUCCGCUGUGAAAACUCGGGGCUUAACCCCGAGCCUGCAGUGGAUACGGGCAGACUAGAGGUAGGUAGGGGAGAAUGGAAUUCCUGGUGUAGCGGUGAAAUGCGCAGAUAUCAGGAGGAACACCGGUGGCGAAGGCGGGUCUCUGGGCCGUUACUGACGCUGAGGAGCGAAAGCGUGGGGAGCGAACAGG